rnacentral:lncRNA from 1 species
GAAAAGAGAAGCAGGCUUUACUUCUUUAGAAAAGUUCUAAGGUAAGCUUUCUGUUUAUUUUUCUGGCUCACCUUCCCAAUCUAUAUUCUUCAUUCUCUCCUUUUAUGAUCGGGAACUGAUUCGACUCAUGGUAGCUUAGCUUUAAAGGCGUAUCAACAAAAUUUAUACCUUGAAUACUAUUACUAAAGUAGCCAAGCUACUAUAGCAUAGUGGUUCUAGGAUCGUUCACUGGGAAGGGUUUUCGCAAACACUAGUGAUAUUCAAAUUAGGAAAAUAGGUGAUUUUCUUAUGGAUGUUAGCUUAAAGAAGAUGUAAAUGUUUUAGAAAGAUUUAAACUAAUCUAAGCUAACAUUAAAGACUAAAAUGAAAGGGUGUAAAAACAAGUUUCUCAAAGAUAGGAUAGCUAUGCUCUGGCUCUUAUGCAAAUUGGAAAUCUUAGGAUAGGCUCCUCGCGUUGGGGUUGCAACUAUGGUAAUGCUUGCUUCCCGAACCGGUAUGGAUUUAGCAAAUCAAGUUUUAAUCCUUUAAAAUGGCAAAAUAGAUGGUAGUGAAUUUCAUCAAUGACUAUUCACCUUAGACUUCCUUUGAAUGGCUCGUAAGAGAUAACUAAUGGUCUAAAGCCAAAAGCUUACCAAAUAUUGGCAACUCAAAGUCAUUCCAGGUGAUAAACUCACCUUUCAAUGACCAUUGAAAUUGGUUCUAACGAAUUAAUGCAAAACUUGGAAUUGAAAACCUCACCUUCCAAUAGCUCGUAGGAGAUAACUAAUGGAUAGAAAUCCAAAAGCUUAUCAAGUAUUGGCCGUUGGAAGUUGUCCAAAGGAAAUAAAAACCAAACUUUGCAUUAAUGAACCAUUAAUGAAAAACGACUACCUUACCUUCCGAGUGCGAGAAAUUUCCAUGGGAUUGCAUCCAAGUCAUCACAUAACAUCCAUACUUUGAGAAACUAAAAGUUUUAGCCAAUCAUCCUUUGAGGAAAAGCCCUCAGAGGCUGUUUGGCUACUAAGAAAAUAAAAUAGUAAAGAGAAAAGAGAGGCGAGAGAGCUCUGUAUAUAUAUGUGUAAAACGUAACACGCAUGUUCUAUAUUCCAAGAGGUGAUUUCCACCCCUUAUAUAGUCUUUACAAAAGCAAAAGCUUGUGAUUGGUUAGUUACAAGGAUAAGAAAGGAAAUUACAUCACAAAAUACAAAGGAAAAUAUCUAAAGUGGAGUCGGCAAAAACAGAGGAAAAUUCGCACCACGCAUGGGUUAUGCGAAUUUUGAAGGUGUUAUGCGAAUUUCGCAUAACACCUUGUGUCGUGCGAAAUUUUCGCACAACCUGGAGCAGUUGGCUUCCGAAGGCCAUAUCUUCCUCAUUUCAGCUCCAAAUCGUACACGGUUUGAAGCGUUGGAUUCUUGACUUCCAGAGCUUUGAAAUGGUAUAUAGCAUGUAAAACAUGGACUUCGGAAAGUGCUCCAAAAGUGCGAAAGAAGACUGCAGCUGCUGUCCUCUUUGCUUCUCUUCACUUUGCUUGCUUUUCCUCUUUUCCAUUGUUCUUUCCUUGCAUACUUUGAACGACUUUGGCAAAGGGCUAUAGAGCUCCAAAGCUUGGUUCUUCAUGAAUUUGAGCUUCCAAAAGCUUUGCCAUAACUUGUCCAAGUAGCUCCUCCAUCAUUUGGCAUGCUUGAAUUGAUUCAUAAGCUGAUAAAAACAUGUAAACUUGCCACAAAAUGGUUAAAACCAAUUACUAAGGACCUUAAUGAAUUAAUUGGGUUAAAUGAAUAUGAUUACUACUCAAAGGUGCUUAAAACCAUUAUAAUUAGGUCUACAAAAUAGCACUUUUUGGUAGUAAUCAGGAACACUGUUUGCUUGUUGGGUUGAGGAUGGUGGAAACUCUAUGUGAACGUUGCUGAUUUCUAGUUUUUGUAUAUGCUUACAGAUAUUGUUUCAUUCCCUAUUACUAUAUUCAUUUAUUUAUUUUUUAUCAUUUGAACUCAGUGAGACUUUGUUUUAUGGUAUAUUAUUUGAUGACAUUGUUUGCCCUAUUUCUCUUUUACUCUUCCCAC